AACGCGUGGGAAUCUGCCCUUGGGUACGGAAUAACUCAGAGAAAUUUGUGCUAAUACCGUAUAAUGUCUUCGGACCAAAGAUUUAUCGCCCAAGGAUGAGCCCGCGUAAGAUUAGCUAGUUGGUGGGGUAAAGGCCUACCAAGGCUACGAUCUUUAGCUGGUCUGAGAGGAUGAUCAGCCACACUGGGACUGAGACACGGCCCAGACUCCUACGGGAGGCAGCAGUGGGGAAUAUUGGACAAUGGGCGAGAGCCUGAUCCAGCAAUGCCGCGUGAGUGAUGAAGGCCUUAGGGUUGUAAAGCUCUUUUACCAGGGAUGAUAAUGACAGUACCUGGAGAAUAAGCUCCGGCUAACUCCGUGCCAGCAGCCGCGGUAAUACGGAGGGAGCUAGCGUUGUUCGGAAUUACUGGGCGUAAAGCGCGCGUAGGCGGUUUUUUAAGUCAGAGGUGAAAGCCCAGUGCUCAACACUGGAACUGCCUUUGAAACUGGAAAACUUGAAUCUUGGAGAGGUCAGUGGAAUUCCGAGUGUAGAGGUGAAAUUCGUAGAUAUUCGGAAG
rnacentral:rRNA from 1 species